UAUAGUUUAUUUGAUAGAACUUUCAACUUGGAUAACCGUAGUAAUUCUAGAGCUAAUACAUGCAUCAAGACCCGGUCUUACCAUAGGGUUGUAUUUAUUAGAUAGAAACCAUCAAGCUUUGCUUUUUUGUGGUGAAUCAUGAUAAAUUCGCGGAUCGCACGGCUUACGCUGGCGACAGAUCAUUCAAGUUUCUGCCCUAUCAGCUUUGGAUGGUAGGGUAUUGGCCUACCAUGGCUUUAACGGGUAACGGAGAAUUGGGGUUCGAUUCCGGAGAGGGAGCCUGAGAGACGGCUACCACA
rnacentral:rRNA from 1 species